AUUGAACGCUGGCGGCAUGCUUUACACAUGCAAGUCGAACGGCAGCACGGGUGCUUGCACCUGGUGGCGAGUGGCGGACGGGUGAGUAAUGCAUCGGAACGUGUCCUGAAGUGGGGGAUAACGCAUCGAAAGAUGUGCUAAUACCGCAUAAUCUCUGAGGAGGAAAGUAGGGGAUCGAAAGACCUUAUGCUUUUGGAGCGGCCGAUGUCUGAUUAGCUAGUUGGUAGGGUAAUGGCUUACCAAGGCGACGAUCAGUAGUUGGUCUGAGAGGACGGCCAGCCACACUGGGACUGAGACACGGCCCAGACUCCUACGGGAGGCAGCAGUGGGGAAUUUUGGACAAUGGGCGCAAGCCUGAUCCAGCAAUGCCGCGUGAGUGAAGAAGGCCUUAGGGUGUAAAGCUCUGUUGCAAGGGAAUAAAAAA
rnacentral:rRNA from 1 species